rnacentral:rRNA from 1 species
CAGCCGCCGCGGUAACACGAAGGGUGCAAGCGUUAAUCGGAAUUACUGGGCGUAAAGUGUGCGUAGGCGGUGAGUUAAGUCUGCUGUGAAAUCCCCGGGCUCAACCUGGGAAUGGCAGUGGAUACUGGCUCGCUAGAGUGUGUCAGAGGAUGGUGGAAUUCCCGGUGUAGCGGUGAAAUGCGUAGAGAUCGGGAGGAACAUCAGUGGCGAAGGCGGCCAUCUGGGACAACACUGACGCUGAGGCACGAAAGCGUGGGGAGCAAACAGGAUUAGAUACCCCCGUAGUCCCUGUCUCUUAUAC